UAAUACGUAGGGGCCUAGCGUUGUCCGGAUUUAUUGGGCGUAAAGAGCUCGUAGGCGGUUCGGCAAGUCAGGUGUGAAAUCUCCGCGCUCAACGCGGAGGAGCCACCUGAUACUGCCGUGACUUGAGUCCGGUAGGGGAGUGCGGAAUUCCUGGUGUAGCGGUGAAAUGCGCAGAUAUCAGGAGGAACACCAAUGGCGAAGGCAGCACUCUGGGCCGGUACUGACGCUGAGGAGCGAAAGCGUGGGGAGCAAACAGGAUUAGAUACCCUGGUAGUCCACGCCGUAAACGUUGGGCACUAGGUGUGGGACCCUAUCGACGGGUUCCGUGCCGUAGCUAACGCAUUAAGUGCCCCGCCUGGGGAGUACGGCCGCAAGGCUA
rnacentral:rRNA from 1 species